GACCCAUUUCUCCCCCAAACAGAACUGAAUCCAGAGGCUUCCUGGAAGGUGAUAAUAUUGUUAGUGGGACCACUAUUUUUCUGUGGCUCAGGACACAAGAGUUAAUUACAAGUUUCCAUUAUGGUCUUCCUUAUGUUCCUGCCAGAGAGCGAACAGAUCUUUUUCCAUUAGCAAUUUCCCCUGAAAUUCCCCUGUUUUCCUGAUUCUGUUGAUAAGACAGAAUCACACAAUUCCAUCUGGUCCUACAUCUGCUUGUCCCCAUUUGUGUGUCCCUGAAGUGGGAAUAGUCUUGCUCUCUGCAGAGCUUUCUAUGGCUGGCCCUGUAGAUGUGGCACAGGAGACCUCACCUUGGGUUGGCCUGCUUGGGUGUAAAAUUGUGAUCUCCAAAGAAUGUGCUGGAUUAUUCUAGUCAGAGUAGAUGAGAAUGGGAUUUGCUGAGGAACUUGUGCUGCCCACCUACAGAAAUGUGAAUUGUAAGUACAUCAAUUAUGAAGCGCCUAAACAUCUCCAUGCUGCUAGUCCUUUUCCUUUGCUAGUCCAGCCUCUCAGGUUUGCAAAAGCUCUGUCCUCUUAGGCAGCUCAAGGGCCUUACUCUUGCUAACAUGAAAAGAUCUGAUAGAAAUUUUACUCUAAGUUAUUAAUGAGUUAUUGUGCAGCUCCUGCCAUAUAGAUAAAUGUUUCUGCAAAGAAGAGGAUAGAGAGAGGAUGGAAAGGAGAAGGCAAUGCUUAACCAAAUGCAAGGAAUAACUAGUGAAAAACCUUCAAGCAUUUUGACACUUGAAAGAGGGAG
ensembl:lncRNA